CAAUCAAACUCCGUGAUAGCUGGUUCUCCCCGAAAUGCAUUUAGGUGCAGCGUUGUGUGUUUCUUGCCGGAGGUAGAGCACUGGAUAGCCGAUGGGCCCUACCAGGUUACUGACGUUAGCCAAACUCCGAAUGCCGGUAAGUGAGAGCGCAGCAGUGAGACUGCGGGGGAUAAGCUCCGUAGUCGAGAGGGAAACAGCCCAGACCAUCAGCUAAGGCCCCUAAGCGGUGACUAAGUGGAAAAGGAUGUGGAGUCGCAGUGACAACCAGGAGGUUGGCUUGGAAGCAGCCACCCUUGAAAGAGUGCGUAAUAGCUCACUGGUCAAGUGAUUCCGCGCCGACAAUGUAGCGGGGCUCAAGUCAUCCGCCGAAGCUAUGGCAUUCACGCGUGUAUCUAGCCGCCACCUCGUGUGGUUGGUUCAGGUGUGUGGAUGGGUAGGGGAGCGUCGUGUCGCGUGUGAAGUUCCGGAGUGAUCCAGGGGUGGAUGCGACACGAGUGAGAAUGCAGGCAUGAGUAGCGAAUCACGGGUGAGAAACCCGUGCGCCGAAUGAUCAAGGGUUCCAGGGUCAAGCUAAUCUGCCCUGGGUAAGUCGGGACCUAAGGCGAGGCCGACAGGCGUAGUCGAUGGACAACGGGUUGAUAUUCCCGUACCGGCAACGUAGCGCCCAUGACGAACCUGGUGAUGCUAACCAUCCGAAGCGCAGGUUGACCGAUCCCUUCGGGGUGAGGCUCUUGUGUGGAGCGUGGGACCCGAGCUGGUAGUAGUCAAGCGAUGGGGUGACGCAGGAAGGUAGCCCAACCACGCCGAUGGUUGUUGCGUGGGUAAGCAGGUAGGGGGCGGUCUAGGCAAAUCCGGACCGCUGUGUUUGAUCACGACCCUGAGAUGUGAUGCCGAGCCCGUAUGGGCGAAGUGGGUGAUCCUAUGCUGUCGAGAAAAACCUCUAGCGAGCUAUGCGCCGCCCGUACCCCAAACCGACUCAGGUGAUCAGGUAGAGAAUACCAAGGCGAUCGAGCGAACCAUGGUUAAGGAACUCGGCAAAAUGCCCCCGUAACUUCGGGAGAAGGGGGGCCGGAUCCGUGACCACCCUUGCGGUGGAAAGCGGUGAUGGCCGCAGAGACCAGGCCCAAGCGACUGUUUACUAAAAACACAGGUCCGUGCGAAGUUGUAAGACGAUGUAUACGGACUGACUCCUGCCCGGUGCUGGAAGGUUAAGGGGAACUGUUAGCGCAAGCGAAGCGGUGAACUUAAGCCCCAGUAAACGGCGGUGGUAACUAUAACCAUCCUAAGGUAGCGAAAUUCCUUGUCGGGUAAGUUCCGACCUGCACGAAUGGAGUAACGACUUGGGCGCUGUCUCAACCGUGGACUCGGCGAAAUUGCACUACGAGUAAAGAUGCUCGUUACGCGCGGCAGGACGGAAAGACCCCGGGACCUUUACUAUAGUUUGGUAUUGGUGUUUGGUUCGGCUUGUGUAGGAUAGGUGGGAGACUGUGAAGCGGCCACGCCAGUGGUUGUGGAGUCAUCGUUGAAAUACCACUCUGGUCGUACUAGAUGUCUAACCUAGGACCGUUAUCCGGUUCAGGGACAGUGCCUGAUGGGUAGUUUAACUGGGGCGGUUGCCUCCUAAAAUGUAACGGAGGCGCUCAAAGGUUCCCUCAGCCUGGUUGGCAAUCAGGUGGCGAGUGUAAGUGCACAAGGGAGCUUGACUGUGAGACAGACAUGUCGAGCAGGGAC
rnacentral:rRNA from 1 species